AUUGAACGCUGGCGGAAUGCUUUACACAUGCAAGUCGAACGGCAGCACGGACUUCGGUCUGGUGGCGAGUGGCGAACGGGUGAGUAAUGUAUCGGAACGUGCCCAGUCGUGGGGGAUAACGUAGUGAAAAUUACGCUAAUACCGCAUACGAUCUAUGGAUGAAAGCGGGGGAUCGCAAGACCUCGCGCGAUUGGAGCGGCCGAUAUCAGAUUAGGUAGUUGGUGGGGUAAAGGCCCACCAAGCCAACGAUCUGUAGCUGGUCUGAGAGGACGACCAGCCACACUGGAACUGAGACACGGUCCAGACUCCUACGGGAGGCAGCAGUGGGGAAUUUUGGACAAUGGGCGAAAGCCUGAUCCAGCCAUUCCGCGUGCAGGAUGAAGGCCCUCGGGUUGUAAACUGCUUUUGUACAGAACGAAAAGGUUUCUACUAAUACUAGGAGCUCAUGGCAGUACUGUAAGGAUAAGCACCGGCUAACUACGUGCCAGCAGCCGCGGUAA
rnacentral:rRNA from 1 species